rnacentral:lncRNA from 1 species
GGGACCAGAUGGAAUGUCACGGGGGUGGGAAGGCAACCACAGGAGUAAGAAGAAGAGAAGAAUAGUUCUCGCAUACCUGCCUCUCGAAUCCGAGCGAUCGAUCAGCAAUCCUCAACCCAAGCAGGCCAGGAUGACAAGAUUCUCCGUAAUGCAGCGGCCACAAGGAUCGAGGGAGCGACACAAACAGCACCCCGCGAAGCCGAGGCCGGGAGCCGCCGGAGUCCGGAGCCCCGACAGAAACCAGAACCACCAAAAAGGAGAAGAUCGGCUCGCCGGCCGGGAGAGGGGGGGCUCUUUGGCUCCGAG